rnacentral:rRNA from 1 species
UAGGGAAUCUUCGGCAAUGGACGAAAGUCUGACCGAGCAACGCCGCGCGAGUGAAGAAGGUUUUCGGAUCGUAAAACUCUGUUGUUAGAGAAGAACAAGGACGUUAGUAACUGAACGUCCCCUGACGGUAUCUAACCAGAAAGCCACGGCUAACUACGUGCCAGCAGCCGCGGUAAUACGUAGGUGGCAAGCGUUGUCCGGAUUUAUUGGUCGUAAAGCGAGCGCAGGCGGUUUCUUAAGUCUGAUGUGAAAGCCCCCGGCUCAACCGGGGAGGGUCAUUGGAAGCUGGGAGACUUGAGUGCAGAAGAGGAGAGUGGAAUUCCAUGUGUAGCGGUGAAAUGCGUAGAUAUAUGGAGGAACACCAGUGGCGAAGGCGGCUCUCUGGUCUGUAACUGACGCUGAGGCUCGAAAGCGUGGGGAGCAAACAGG